AUAACUGGGGUGCUCGCUCCAGAGAUCUGUGUUCGUGCAGAGAAAAGACUUCAUAGCUGCCUAUUUAUGAGAUGGUGUGGGAGGAACGUCUGAAGAAACAGAUGCAGGCUCUCUUCUCCAAAGAGAAAAUUGGAUGAAGAACGAAAAUGACCUCGAUGAACAGGGGAAUAUCAUAGGAACCUGUUCCUUGGAGGCAGAGAGGAGGAAUACAUACACGUAGAUAAGGGCUGUGUGCGAAAGUUGAGUAUUGUUCUUUGGGGAAUUUCAGUGCAUCAAAGGAGCCUGAUAUCAGACCUGGAUUAACAUCAGAAGAAAGGUUUUCUGAGGAAAAGAAGUAAGAGAGGGUGAGAGAUUUAUCUGGGCAGGAGAAGCAAUUUUUGACCCCACCUCUGCACCGUGGAUGGGUUUCGGACAUCCCUUUGGAUCCGCUGCCUUUCAGGCAGGCCGCUCCGCGAGGCUCCAGCAAUUAAGGAUGGUGUUGAGGAACGAGCUGGGCAGGAAUUGUUCUGGUGGAGAGAACCCUGCUGUGCAGCCUGGCUGGUAGGACCCAAUGCCCACCAUUGCCAACAGCAUCCCAGAGUGGGGACAGGUGCUCACUCCAUGGGAUGAGCGCUGGUAACUCCUGGAGCACAUAUCUCUCCUGGAAAUACUUUGCCUAGAAAGUGCCUUUCUCUUCAUGGCUGUGUUAUUUGGUGGCAUUUUGCUGAGCCUAAGGGCUAAUACCUUCAGAUCCUGCUUUCCAACAGCCCUGCUUGGUAAGCCAGAGUUCCCAGCGCGGAUUUGUACAUGGAUGUGCAGAGCUGCAGGCAGGGCAGAGGUAUUUCUCCCGGCACUUGGUGCCAUUUGUUCCUUCUCACACAGCAAUCAGUUCCUUUCUGUAGUUUUUGCUGCCUUGUCACUUCUUUAGCUCUGUCCCCACGUUUAGUCUACGGCCAGCUACAAAAAGUGAACAGUACUCAGUCCAGGAUCAGGGGAAAACCCUUGAGCAACCUCCUUCCAGCCCGGUACUUCCUUGAUGUGUGCAACUCCUGGUUCUUCCAUCUCAUCUAUCUAGCUGUCACACCUCCAAGCCCACUUUGCCAGUAAUUAUGAUUGCUCACUUGUGAUAAUUUUGCUUAAGCAAUAGAUUGGGCAGAGGAUCAUCAGAGCCCAUCCCUUCUUGGGACAAGGAUGGGUGUAAGAGGUAGCAGGCUGGCUCUCGGGCAGAUAAGCAGCAUGUUUAGGCUGCUGGAGUUCCUGGAUUUUGACGUGUUAUUCUCUUUCUACUUUAUGUAGUUUAUUUUCUCAACUGCUCUUCUGCAGAAGGCACCACGUUUGUAAGAACAGCAAAUCCUUUCUCAGCCUCUUCUCUUAGAUGACAGUCAUACUCUUCUCCAUUAAAUAUGAUGGUCUAUGGCGGGAUUCAAGCUGGAUUCUCCCUCUGGAUUUCUAUUCCAAGCUUUCAAAUGGUGAUGUACAAAGGUAGAAGUGUCCCCAGAGCUCUGUGCAGGAGGAUGGCACCUGAGAGGACCCACCAAUUUACUGUCAUAACUGGUAGGAUCUUGUGUUGUGUCAUUCCUGGCAAUACUUGAUUGUGGGGAGACACUCUUCAUGGUGAUGUACGUAGGUUGCUCCGAAAGUAAUGCCUUCUAGUGAUUUCCAUGGAAACUACAAGAGCUACAAAGAGUGCAAUAACGCUGCUUGAUGAAUUCUCAGCUACAAAACACUGUUUUUCAGUGCAGCCACCAUGUUAGCCAUGCAUUUUUGCCAGUGAUGGACAAGAGCCUGUGUGCCACUCUUGUAAUUAUCUGCACCUGUGGAGGUGACCCCACAGUUUCACAGCAACAGCACUGUGCUGGGAAUAUGCUGCCCUCAAAGUCCUUUUUUCGUUGGUCUGAACAGGUGGAAGUCAGAAGGAGCCAAAUCUGGAAUGUACAGUGGCUGUGGUAGGAGAGCCCAGCCGGAAUUGGUUGGGGCCUGGCAUUGUCCUCUUCUCUGGCCCUACUGUAGUUCAGGCAUCAUUUUAGUCAGUGCUGUGAUGUAGCAGGCAGGGUUGAUGCAGGAUGGCCAUCACGCGGCUGCUGCAUAAGGGUGGUUUUGUCUGACUUUUGUCCUGAGGAGCCGAGCAGCAGCGAAGGGCUCCGGCAGAGCCCCCAGCGGAGGGCAGCCGCUCCGCAGUCCGCAGCGCCCUCUGCUGCAAAGCCAGCCAGCAAAGGGGCUGUCGGUCAGGCUAAAGGCAACGGCCGGGUCUUCGUGCUCACAGAGCGACCAAAGGGAGCGAGAGCAUCCAGAAACUAUGGACAGAAAAUGGAAAAGAGAUCAGCCCAUAGGAAAGCCUGAAAAACGGGGUGCAGCUGCAGCUGCUUUGGAGGAGUCAGGGAAGCCCGGUUGCUCAUAAUUACCUUCGUUUCUGCAUAAGGGGGCUGGAAGAGGCAGAGGGCCUUGGCUGUGGGGCAGCUGGGGCUGCAGGGGUGGGUACAAAGCUGGGGUGCACCAAAUUUCUCAGUGUCCUGUAGUUCAGGUCUGCUGAGAUGCAGCACAGCAACGUGAAUGGCAAAGAGAAAGCUCCCAAAUGGAAGGGAGACAGUAUACAGCUCUUAGCAGAAGGGAUGGGGAGGACUGAAUUCUUCAGUACAGUUGCUUCAGCCCUGCAAGGAUUCGUUUAGAAGUUGGCAAAGUGGAGCCUGUGAAACCUGGUGGGCUGAGGGGCUGAGUUUGCAAAGGUGUCGUGGCCAGAUGUCACAGGUCACAGCUCUGCAACUGGAUGGUGAUAGGACAAGAGGGAAUGGUUUUAAACUGAGACAGAGGAGGUUUAGGUUGGAUAUUAGGAGGAAGUUUUUCACACAGAGGGUGGUGAUGCACGGGAACAGGUUGCCCAAGGAGGCUGUGGAUGCCCCAUCCCUGGAGGCAUUCAGGGCCAGGCUGGAUGUGGCUCUGGGCAGCCUGGUCUGGUGGUUGGCGACCCUGCACAUAGCAGGGGGUUGAAACGAGUUGACCAUUGUGGUCCUUUUCAACCCAGGCCAUUCUAUGAUUCUGUCUUGCAAAUGCUUAAUGCAGAGCUUGGGUACUUCAGGCACAGCACCAAGAUCCUGUGCAUUUAGGAAUCUUAAUGUGCUGCUGCUCAGAUGUAAUACACUUCCAAAGGAAGUCUCUCCCAUCUUUAUUCAGUGCCUGGGACACCAGAGGCUCAGCUCUGAGUGCUCACUGCUGGACACAGGGAAACAAUACCACUUCAGUGGGAUGUAAAGGAGCAGUACAGCUGGCUCUGAACUUUUCUAACAACCCCUUGUUUAUGUUGUAAUGCCUAUGGGACAAAGAGUGCACUGAUAGUAUUUCUUCUUCUUUUCCCCUGAGAAUAACAGAGCCACCAGGAGAAAGGCCCACAUAAGCACUGCUCACUGGGACACAUGGAGACAUCAAAGCCUCCAGACACUGAUCCUCCACCUCAGCUCCUGAAGACAGAGCAGCACCGAAACAAGAGCUUGUAUUCAUGCAGACCACAACCAGCACAUCUGCAGAUUAGUGGGACAGCAUCUUUGAAAAGAAUAAGCUUUGGAAUUCAGGAUGUCUGUAUCAGAGGCCUGCAUUUCCGCUCCUCCCUGAAAGCAUCCAACAAGGAUGACAGCCAGCAUGCUCACCAAGUUUCUUCAAGUAAGAAGUGAUUGAUUCUAGGCCAUAAGGUUUGAGAAGACCUCUGUUAUCAUUGAGUCCAACCACUGAUCCAUGGCCACCAUGCCCAAUAAGCCAUAUCCCCAAGUGUCACACCUCCAUGGAUGGUGACACCACCCCUUCCCAGCUUGGUCCAGUGCUUUGCUGCUCUUUCAGAGAAGAAUGAUUAAACGCCAUCUGAAAUGCAAGCAGUGCAUGCCUUGGUUCAUCGCCUCUGCUUGGCUCAUCCACAGGCUCAGCUUGGCCAUGAAAAAUGGGGACAGAUACCCUGCACAUGCUGUCUGCUUGAGAUUUAUGCCAGUGAGUGCCUGGUAAAAAAUAAAAGAGUCCCAGGAGAGCUCACAGAACAGUCAAGCAUGUGUGCUGCUGCACAUACAGGGGGGAAUCUAGGAGUUAAAAUACCCUGCAACCACUCCUUUCCCUUCUCUCCCCAUUCCAAGGGAGAAAAGCCACUGAGUGUUAAAACAGCAAUACUCAAACAUCACAUUUCCCACACAUAAAGGUGUGUUUCGAACAAAGGGCUCGUGAAAGGAAAAAUAUGUAAAGCUAGACACCACAGGAAGCACUGGGAAGCUUCAAGUCCCAUGAACAGAGUAAGAUUAAACAUUUUUCCCAAAUAAUUAUUGUCAGUUGUACAUCACACAGUACCUGUUUUUCAGAACAGCCUGAAAACCCGUCCCGAAUGCUGAUGGUGUCCACAUGUUCAGUGCAAGCUAGAUCUGCUCCCACCAAGACAAACCCAAGCAGAUGAAGCCUUCAGUUCCCACCUAGGAAGCAACCUCCUGUUCACCUCACAUUGCAGAAGAUGAAAGGAAUCUAAUCUCAAACACAUGAGGGAGAUGCUAUUAUACAGAAGUAAACAUCUGGCAUUUCUAAAGCCCUUUACUUCAGAAAACCUUGAAGGGGUUUCUAGAUACUUACAAACUACAUUCAGCAAUGAUUGCUAGUAUUCUACAAAAGAAUUAAUUGAAAAAGCAGAAUCAACUUACUGAACGUCAAGCAAUGACCACUGCAGUAAGGUAACGUCCCUGCUAAGGUCACACUGCAUCUGCCCUUAUUGCUGCCUUCAAACUACAUCACUACAGGGAAUUUAGCUGUCUCCUAUUACCGUAGUAAAUUACAGCUUAAAAAUAUGGAGGGUGAACUUCAGGCUUGAGAUUUCAACUGAUUGUCCAAACAGCAAAAGAGAACAGAAUCAUAAAGCAAAGAAUGCUGGCAGAAAGUUUUGUGGCCAGCACAGGUAUUUCAGUGGUCUAUCCCAUGUGCAGCCUCUGGGAAGCAGAGAAAACACUGAGAGCUCAGAGCCGUUUUAUGGAGGUUGCAUAGAGCUCCAUUGAGCUGAAAUGGAACUACUGCCUUCCUUACCAUAAAAGCCAAAGGCUUUCAAUCUGCCCUUUGUACUGGGAUGAAUAAUUCAUUGCAGGCUCGGCCAACCCGAACAGCUCCCUCCCCUCCAAGCAAGGCAGGGCUGAGAGUCCAUUCAAGUUGAUACAAGCAUUGAAAUACAGGGGAAGAAACGUGUGGUGCGGGGCAGGCGGGACGGUGUGUAAAUGGACGUCGCAGUUUCUUGGGAUUUCUUUCUUACAGGAAUAUGGGAUACAAAAAGAACCUCAUGUUUUUGUAAUGGAAAAGAAAACAGAACCAAAGAAAACACCCCGUGCCUCACUCAUCAGAGGGACGAACUGAAACCCCAAGGAAUAUGAAGUCCUUUUUUUUCCCAGGGAAGCUGAAAAAGCAAACAAGUUAUGCAAAAAAGGAGAAAUCAGUUUGGCAAAGUUCUGCAAGGCACUCUGACUGUACUUAGUUCAAUCAGUACAGCCUGUCUAACUCAAUUGCAUAAGCCACAUCAGUCACUUUGCAACUAUUUAUGCUUAGAAGCCACUGAUGACAUUUUUAAUGUUUGAUGUACCGUAAGAGUAAACUCAAUGCUAGCAGCAGAACUACUGACAAAACUGAAGCAGCUGCCAGACAGGGAGCACAUCACACUUCCAGUGCAUUUAAAACACACGCACUGCUUAUGAGCAAAACCCCCUUCGAUUAGAGGAAGAUCUAUUUUGCAAACCUCAGAUUUCACUUCCAACCACCAGAUUUGUCUCUAAGGAUGCUUAUCAGCUUUAAAAUGAAACAUUAACAUGUUCCUUUCCCAAAAUCAAGUUACCAUUUUAAUAAAAUAGUCCUUUUCCUUUUA